CCUGAUCCAGCCAUGCCGCGUGAGUGAUGAAGGCCUUAGAGUCGUAAAGCUCUUUCGCCUGUGAAGAUAAUGACGGUAGCAGGUAAAGAAACCCCGGCUAACUCCGUGCCAGCAGCCGCGGUAAUACGGAGGGGGUUAGCGUUGUUCGGAAUUACUGGGCGUAAAGCGCACGUAGCGGACCAAAAAGUUGGGGGUGAAAUCCCGGGGCUCAACCCCGGAACUGCCUCCAAAACUGUUGGUCUAGAGUUCGAGAGAGGUGAGUGGAAUUCCGAGUGUAGAGGUGAAAUUCGUAGAUAUUCGGAGGAACACCAGUGGCGAAGGCGGCUCACUGGCUCGAUACUGACGCUGAGGUGCGAAAGUGUGGGGAGCAAACAGGAUUAGAUACCCUGGUAGUCCACACCGUAAAAGAUGAAUGCCAGUCGUCGGGUAGCAUGCUAUUCGGUGACACACCUAACGGAUUAAGCA
rnacentral:rRNA from 1 species